GACGAACGCUGGCGGCGUGCCUAAUACAUGCAAGUAGAACGCACAGUUUAUACCGUAGCUUGCUACACCAUAGACUGUGAGUUGCGAACGGGUGAGUAACGCGUAGGUAACCUGCCUGGUAGCGGGGGAUAACUAUUGGAAACGAUAGCUAAUACCGCAUAAUAUUGAUUAUUGCAUGAUAAUUAAUUGAAAGGUGCAAUUGCACCACUACCAGAUGGACCUGCGUUGUAUUAGCUAGUAGGUGAGGUAACGGCUCACCUAGGCGACGAUACAUAGCCGACCUGAGAGGGUGAUUGGCCACACUGGGACUGAGACACGGCCCAGACUCCUACGGGAGGCAGCAGUAGGGAAUCUUCGGCAAUGGACGAAAGUCUGACCGAGCAACGCCGCGUGAGUGAAGAAGGUUUUCGGAUCGUAAAGCUCUGUUGUAAGAGAAGAACGGGUGUGAGAGUGGAAAGUUCACACUGUGACGGUAUCUUACCAGAAAGGGACGGCUAACUACGUG
rnacentral:rRNA from 1 species